rnacentral:rRNA from 1 species
AUUGAACGCUGGCGGCAGGCCUAACACAUGCAAGUCGAACGAGUGGCGGACGGGUGAGUAAUGUCUGGGAAACUGCCUGAUGGAGGGGGAUAACUACUGGACACGGUAGCUAAUACCGCAUACCAUCAGAUGUGCCCAUAUGGGAUUAGCCUGUUGGUGGGGUAACGGCUCACCAAGGCCACGAUCCAUAGAUGGUCUGGGAGGAUGACCAGCCACACUGGGACUGAGACAGGGACGCGACUUGUACGGGAGGCAGCAAUGGGGAAUAUUGAGCAAUAGGCGCAAGCCUGAUGCAGCCAUGCCGCGUGUAUGAAGAAGGCCUUCGGGGUGUAAUGUACUUUCAGCGGGGAGGCGUUACCCGCAGAAGAAGCACCGGCUAACUCCGUGCCAGCAGCCGCGGUAAUUC